rnacentral:rRNA from 1 species
GAUGAACGCUGGCGGCGUGCCUAAUACAUGCAAGUCGAGCGAACAGACCAGGAGUUUGCCCCUCUGACGUUAGCGGCGGACGGGUGAGUAACACGUGGAUAACCUACCUAUAAGACUGGGAUAACUUCGGGAAACCGGAGCUAAUACCGGAUAAUAUAUUGAACCGCAUGGUUCAAUAGUGAAAGACGGUUUUGCUGUCACUUAUAGAUGGAUCCGCGCCGCAUUAGCUAGUUGGUAAGGUAACGGCUUACCAAGGCGACGAUGCGUAGCCGACCUGAGAGGGUGAUCGGCCACACUGGAACUGAGACAGGGUCAAGGCUCCUGCGGGAGGCAGUAGUAGGGAAUCUUCCGCAAUGGGCGAAAGCCUGACGGAGCAGCGCCGCGUGAGUGAUGAAGGUCUUCGGAUCGUAAAACUCUGUUAUGAGGGAAGAACAAAUGUGUAAGUAACUAUGCACGUCUUGACGGUACCUAAUCAGAAAGCCACGGCUAACUACGUG